UGGGGAAUAUUGCGCAAUGGGGGCAACCCUGACGCAGCAACGCCGCGUGAAGGAUGAAGGUUUUCGGAUUGUAAACUUCUUUUGUUGAGGACGAAGAAAGUGACGGUACUCAACGAAUAAGCCACGGCUAACUACGUGCCAGCAGCCGCGGUAAUACGUAGGUGGCAAGCGUUGUCCGGAUUUACUGGGUGUAAAGGGCGAGUAGGCGGGUUUGCAAGUCAGAUGUGAAAUACCGGGGCUUAACCCCGGGGCUGCAUUUGAAACUGUAGAUCUUGAGUGAUGGAGAGGCAGGCGGAAUUCCCGGUGUAGCGAUGGAAUGCGUAGAUAUCGGGAGGAACACCAGUGGCGAAGGCGGCCUGCUGGACAUUAACUGACGCUGAGGAGCGAAAGCGUGGGGAGCAAACAGGAUUAGAUACCC
rnacentral:rRNA from 1 species